ACCGAGCACCUACCUACCCCAUUCGUCCCGCGGCUAACCCACUCUUGGGAUCGUAGGUGAGGGGCAGCGGCAAUGAGAGUACGGCGGAUGGAGUGGCGACGACGAGAGGAGGGGCUCGAACGAGCGGCGGCGGCGUAGGGUAGGGGCAGCGCGAGGGCGGUGGUAAGGAGGAGGGGAGGAUGGUGAGGGGAGGGGUCCGGAUCUUUAGCCACUCCUCCGGCUCAGCGGUGGGCGACGGCCAGGAGUCUGGCAGGACUAGCUGGUUCGAGUCCCAGCUCCCCGCGCGGCCUAGACCCGCGCCACCGAGCAUAGGGUCCCUCUAGGGGUGCAACGCGCCUUCCUGCCGCUGGAGCGGUGGGCCCGAGGGAAGGACCAGUCGCGGGACGCCUUUCCAAUGACCGCCUGGUGGGACACGUCAAACCCCUGAUACACCGACGCGGGCAGUUCUGCCUCUUACUCGUGUACGGGCGGCUGUCCAUGGGGUCUACGACACCGGCACCGAGCUCCCGGACCUAAACCGGCAGCAAUCUUUCAUGCGCUAUCUACCCUAAACCUUCCACUCGGGGGUAUAGAACUAAACUAAGUUGAGUAAGGAAAGAUCGCACCAUGACUAUACACUACCAGACCUAAACCUUAUACGGAAAAAAUAGGUAAAAUUACCGCUAAAAGAGUAACCUAACGACGAGCUACUAUGGCAGGACUAGUUGCCACGGCAAUAUCGACUAAUUUAGACGUUUAAGAAACGGCAACUGAGGCCGUAACAGACAGUUGAUGGAACUAUCCAAGGAGAAGCAGAUAGGGAAAGGACUUCCGUUUCGCACCCACUGUGCCGAGAACCGUCACCGAGCGAAAACAGAGCGAAAUUUCUACCUCCUCUGGAUACACAGUGAGGGGUACCUGGACGUCCACUAACUCCGUUUCAGACGAAACCUCCGUUACUGGUAUUUUUCCUACCUCGCCAAUGACGAACGAGUAAAUAACUGAUGAAGGAAGCGUUGAAGUUAGUAGUACUGCGUGGGAGGUACGAGCGUAAGUGGGCGUGCUGGCUGAGGUAGGGCUCGUGUCGAUUUCUGGAAGUCUCAAACGACGUGGAUAACGUGAACGACAUAAACCCAACGACGUGGACAACGUGAACAACAAUAAACCCCUCGCGUUAUGAAGUCACCAGCUUUCCCGAUGUUGAUUAACGUACAUAUAUUUGUUCCUCGCUCACAAUUCUACGGUGUUUAACUAAGUCCUGUUCUAUUGUUACCCUUGGUGACAGUAGUUUAGCCAACCUAGUAGUUACAAGAUACACGGCGUUUCGGGCUAUCCGCACAACCUACGACAACAUACAGAGUCGGUUGUCUCACUACUAUGACAACAACCUAGAGAUCGUUGUACUAUGGUGUAGCGAGAAGCUGUUCGUUUUCCUACUCUUAACUGUCUACUGGCUAGUGUACAGUACUACAUGAAGUCCGUCAUCGGGAGAAGUUCAGGAUGAAACCACCUUGAAAACUACUUCUACGAUAGUCCUUAUUGAACUACAGAUAUGGUUGAAGAACUACAAUUCCCGUGUAGGUCAAAACCUGAAACGGACCACGAAGUCAAAGGUGGUACCUAACGAAAAAACACACUAUGGCUGAGACGUUGACACGUCUCUAAUACCUGUAGUCAAUAGGAGUCUUAGAGAGUGGACUUUAAGACUUCAAUAUAUAUUAGGUCCUUCCGCAUGGCAGCGGUAAAAGGAGGUUCUAAACUUUAACUUUUAUUAGACAGUUUUGACUUUCUUUAACCUCAUAAUUUCUAGACGAACAUGACAGUAAAAAAACAAACUUAACACGUGGUUUUAUUUGACAACGGUUAGUCAAUCAUCGUAUUAAUAACUAUCCCUCAUAAAUCCUGUUAGGUACUCCAUAUGAAUCUACGUUUUUUUUAGACAAUCUUCUACAAGCAAAAAAAGGACACACGUUGAAUACAUAUACCCCCAAGUCCUUAUAGUAAACAUGACUUAAAAUGACAGGUCUAACAUCGAACAUGACAGUAAAGAUUUUUUGUCAUUGUGUUUUUCUAGUCUAGGUCGAGGUAUUAAAAUGACAUACUCUGUCGGAUAUAUUAAAAGUCGAGGUAUUAAAAGUCAAACAUCUCGAGACACAACAGGACAAAAAGACAACAAGAUAAAAAGAUAAAAAAAACACCAAUAUCGAGGAUAUGGCUAAUGGUACAUAAGCACUUUUUAUCUAUUACUUUUAGUCGAAUAACGAAAUGGACCUUAACAUCGAUCCGUACUUCCUAUCUUUUAGAACG
rnacentral:rRNA from 1 species